UAGGGAAUCUUCGGCAAUGGGGGCAACCCUGACCGAGCAACGCCGCGUGAGUGAAGAAGGUUUUCGGAUCGUAAAGCUCUGUUGUAAGAGAAGAACGUGUGUGAGAGUGGAAAGUUCACACAGUGACGGUAACUUACCAGAAAGGGACGGCUAACUACGUGCCAGCAGCCGCGGUAAUACGUAGGUCCCGAGCGUUGUCCGGAUUUAUUGGGCGUAAAGCGGGCGCAGGCGGUUUAAUAAGUCUGAAGUUAAAGGCAGUGGCUUAACCAUUGUUCGCUUUGGAAACUGUUAAACUUGAGUGCAGAAGGGGAGAGUGGAAUUCCAUGUGUAGCGGUGAAAUGCGUAGAUAUAUGGAGGAACACCGGUGGCGAAAGCGGCUCUCUGGUCUGUAACUGACGCUGAGGCUCGAAAGCGUGGGGAGCAAACAGG
rnacentral:rRNA from 1 species